CAAUUUGAUGUUUUGUGUUUCAGUGUCUGAUGGCCAGGCUCUUAUUGGUGAACCAGUGACCAGAGAAGACAUCUUACAUUUGUCUGAUGGCCAGGCUCUUAUUGGUGAACCAGUGACCAGAGAAGACUUCUUACAUUAUUCCUGUCACUUCACCCUGGAUCCAAACACAGCAGAGAAACACCUCCAUCUGUCUGAGGGGAACAGGAGGGUGGAGUGGAGAUAUGAGGAACUGCCAUAUCCUGAUCAUCCAGACAGAUUUGAUAGAUGGCCUCAGGUGCUGUGUAGAGAGGG